ACGUAACACUCCUACGGGAGGCAGCAGUGGGGAAUAUUGGACAAUGGGCGCAAGCCUGAUCCAGCCAUGCCGCGUGAGUGAUGAAGGCCCUAGGGUUGUAAAGCUCUUUCACCGGUGAAGAUAAUGACGGUAACCGGAGAAGAAGCCCCGGCUAACUUCGUGCCAGCAGCCGCGGUAAUACGAAGGGGGCUAGCGUUGUUCGGAUUUACUGGGCGUAAAGCGCACGUAGGCGGACUAUUAAGUCAGGGGUGAAAUCCCGGGGCUCAACCCCGGAACUGCCUUUGAUACUGGUAGUCUUGAGUUCGAGAGAGGUGAGUGGAAUUCCGAGUGUAGAGGUGAAAUUCGUAGAUAUUCGGAGGAACACCAGUGGCGAAGGCGGCUCACUGGCUCGAUACUGACGCUGAGGUGCGAAAGCGUGGGGAGCAAACAGGAUUAGAUACCCGAGUAGUCCCAUG
rnacentral:rRNA from 1 species